rnacentral:tRNA from 1 species
GGUGUUAUAGCUCAGCGGUAGAGCAAUCGGCUGCAGUCCGAUCGGUCAUUGGUUCAAAUCCAGUUGACACCU